rnacentral:rRNA from 1 species
GACGAACGCUGGCGGCGUGCUUAACACAUGCAAGUCGAACGGAAAGGCCUGCUUUCCCUUGUGGAUUGCGGGUACUCGAGUGGCGAACGGGUGAGUAACACGUGAGUGAUCUGCCCCCAACUUGGGUAUAAGCCUGGGAAACUGGGUCUAAUUCCCGAUAGGACUGCAGGGUGGUGCCUGUGGUGGAAAACGAUUUUCUAGUGGUUGGGGAUGAGCUCGCGGCCUAUCAGCUUGUUGGUGGGGUAAUGGCCUACCAAGGCGGCGACGUGUAGCCGGCCUGAGAGGGUGGACGGCCACAUUGGGACUGAGAUACGGCCCAGACGCCUACGGGAGGCAGCAGUGGGGAAUAUUGCACAAUGGGCGGAAGCCUGAUGCAGCGACGCCGCGUGGGGGAUGACGGCCUUCGGGUUGUAAACUCCUUUCGACCGCGAGGAAGCCACCUGGUUGGAAGGGUGGUGACGGUAGUGGUAGAAGAAGCACCGGCUAACUACGUG